rnacentral:rRNA from 1 species
GAUGAACGCUGGCGGCGUGCCUAAUACAUGCAAGUCGAGCGAACAGACGAGGAGCUUGCUCCCCUGACGUUAGCGGCGGACGGGUGAGUAACACGUGGAUAACCUACCUAUAAUACUUGGAUAACUUCGUGAAACCGGUGCUAAUACCGGAUAAUAUAUCGUACCGCAUGGUUCAAUAGUUCAAGACGGUUUUGCUGUCACUUAUAGAUGGAUCCGCGCCGCAUUAGCUAGUUGGUAAGGUAACGGCUUACCAAGGCAACGAUGCGUAGCCGACCUGAGAGGAUGAUCGGCCACACUGGAACUGAGACACGGUCCAGACUCCUACGGGAGGCAGCAGUAGGGAAUAUUGCGCAAUGGGCGAAAGCCUGACGGAGCCACGCCGCGUGAGUGAUGAAGGUCUUCGGAUCGUAAAGCUCUGUUAUUAGGGAAGAAAAACUGUGUAAGUAUCUAUGGACGUCUUGACGGUACCUAAACAGAAAGCAACGGCUAACUUCGUG